rnacentral:rRNA from 1 species
CCUACGGGAGGCAGCAGUGAGGAAUAUUGGUCAAUGGCCGCGAGCCUGAACCAGCCAAGUCGCGUGAAGGAUGACUGCCCUACGGAUUGUAAACUUCUUUUAUAAAGGAAUAAAGUGAGGCACGUGUGCCUUUUUGUAUGUACUUUAUGAAUAAGCAUCGGCUAACUCCGUGCCAGCAGCCGCGGUAAUACGGAGGAUCCGAGCGUUAUCCGGAUUUAUUGGGUUUAAAGGGAGCGUAGAUGGGUUGUUAAGUCAGGUGUGAAAGUGUGCGGCUCAACCGUAAAAUUGCAAUUGAUACUGGCAGUCUUGAGUACAGUUGAGGUAGGCGGAAUGCGUGGUGUAGCGGUGAAAUGCUUAGAUAUCACGAAGAACUCCGAUUGCGAAGGCAGCUUAC